UACGGAGGGUGCAAGCGUUAUCCGGAUUCACUGGGUUUAAAGGGUGCGUAGGCGGGCAGGUAAGUCCGUGGUGAAAUCUCUGAGCUUAACUCAGAAACUGCCAUGGAUACUAUUUGUCUUGAAUAUUGUGGAGGUAAGCGGAAUAUGUCAUGUAGCGGUGAAAUGCUUAGAUAUGACAUAGAACACCAAUUGCGAAGGCAGCUUACUACACAGUUAUUGACGCUGAGGCACGAAAGCGUGGGGGAUCAAAACAGG
rnacentral:rRNA from 1 species